UACGUAGGGGGCAAGCGUUGUCCGGAAUCAUUGGGCGUAAAGCGCGUGUAGGCGGUUCAGUAAGUCUGCUGUGAAAGUCCAGGGCUCAACCCUGGGAUGCCGGUGGAUACUGCUGGGCUAGAGUACGGAAGAGGCGAGUGGAAUUCCCGGUGUAGCGGUGAAAUGCGCAGAUAUCGGGAGGAACACCAGUGGCGAAGGCGGCUCACUGGACCGGAACUGGACGCUGAGGCGCGAAAGCGUGGGGAGCAAACAGGG
rnacentral:rRNA from 1 species